UACAGAGGUCUCAAGCGUUGUUCGGAUUCAUUGGGCGUAAAGGGUGUGUAGGUGGCGCCGUAAGUCGGGUGUGAAAUUUCGGAGCUUAACUCCGAAACUGCAUUCGAUACUGCGGUGCUUGAGGACUGGAGAGGAGACUGAAUUUACGGUGUAGCAGUGAAAUGCGUAGAUAUCGUAAGGAAGACCAGUGGCGAAGGCGGGUCUCUGGACAGUUCCUGACACUGAGACACGAAGGCCAGGGGAGCAAACGGG
rnacentral:rRNA from 1 species